CUUAACUUUAAACUAAUAUAAGUAGAUGUAAAAAAAUAUAUUAUUAAAGAAAAUAUAUUGAGCAUAUUUAAUUAUUUUAUUAUAAUAUGGCAUAUAUAUUGUUAAUAAAGCAUCACUAUCUACCGAACUCCGCUUAGAAUCCUUUUUUUUUGUAAGUAAUGGUUUAUCAUUGCUUAUAGGUAUAUAUUAAAUUAUCUAUAACAGUGGCUGCUCCUAUCCCCAUUAUCAUAAAAGAUUAUAUAUCCCCAAUAUAACAAUUUAAGAAAUAAGCAUCUCGUAAUUUAACAUUUACAAACUAAUAAAAUAAUAAAUUAAUCAAUGCGUCUCCUGGAGUAUUAUGAUAAGUGUAUAAUAACUGGUUUCAAAUUAAAAAUGCAUCAUCAGGUAUAUCACAGUCAAAGUAUAAAACUGGACUGAAUAUAAAAAAACUAAAUGAAGGAAUACAUAGCAAAAAAUAAUUUACAAAUUGGUCGUUUUACAUAAAAUAUAGAAAUAAGUUAUUUUAAAAGGAGA